rnacentral:rRNA from 1 species
AUUGAACGCUGGCGGCAGGCCUAAUACAUGCAAGUAGGACGAGUUGCGAACGGGUGAGUAACGCGUGGUAACCUGCCUAUUAGAGGGGGGUAAAUAUUGGAAACGAUAGCUAAUCCCGCCUACUAGUAGAUGGACCUGCGUUGUAUUAGCUAGUAGGUAGGGUAAUGGCCUACCUAGGCGCCGAGACAUAGCCGACCUGAGAGGGGGAUCGGCAACACUGGGACUGAGACACGGUCCAGACUCCUACGGGAGGCAGCAGUGGGGAAUAUUGCACAAUGGGCGCAAGCCUGAUGCAGCCAUGCCGCGUGUAUGAAGAAGGCCUUCGGGUUGUAAAGUACUUUCAGCGGGGAGGCGUUACCCGCAGAAGAAGCACCGGCUAACUCCGUGCCAGCAGCCGCGGUAAUAC